CCCAGACGCAGACUUCUGCUUGCUUGAAUUUUCCACUAAGCCUUUGGAUCUAGCCCCACCCUGCAUUUGCUGACCUCACAGACCUCACUCUCAUGAUCUGAGUGGGGCUACAGUCACAUCAGGGAGACAGACCCUUGAUCUGCCAGGAGCCUAUGAGGAAAAGGGGCGUCAGGUCAUCUAGAGGACUCCUGAGGUGUUUGUCCGGACUCUCCCCCUGUCUUUUUUUUUUGUCCCCCUGUCUUUUAACACCAUCUUCUGAUUUGACAUAUGGCCUCAGGGAGGGAGACAGGCCUUCUUUCUCUGGGUUUGCAAGCUGUAAGGAUCAUAAGCCUGGAGUUGCUGGUGGUCAUCUUCCCCACGUGAGAACAUUCAAGAUCUACUCUCCUAUCAACUUUCAAACAUAUAAUUAACUAUAGUUACCAGGUGGUACAUUAGAUCCCCAGAACUUACUCAUCUUCUAACAGGAAGCCUGUACAUUUGGAUCAACAUCUCCCCAUUCCUGCACUCCCAAGCCCCAGCAACCACAAUUCUGCUGUUUUGAUGGGUUUGGGUUUUUUGUUUGUUUGUUUUUAAUGAGAUGAUAUGGUAAUUUG